rnacentral:rRNA from 1 species
UGGGGAAUUUUGGACAAUGGGGGAAACCCUGAUCCAGCCAUCCCGCGUGUGCGAUGAAGGCCUUCGGGUUGUAAAGCACUUUUGGCAGGAAAGAAACGUCGUGGGUUAAUACCCCGCGAAACUGACGGUACCUGCAGAAUAAGCACCGGCUAACUACGUGCCAGCAGCCGCGGUAAUACGUAGGGUGCAAGCGUUAAUCGGAAUUACUGGGCGUAAAGCGUGCGCAGGCGGUUCGGAAAGAAAGAUGUGAAAUCCCAGAGCUUAACUUUGGAACUGCAUUUUUAACUACCGGGCUAGAGUGUGUCAGAGGGAGGUGGAAUUCCGCGUGUAGCAGUGAAAUGCGUAGAUAUGCGGAGGAACACCGAUGGCGAAGGCAGCCUCCUGGGAUAACACUGACGCUCAUGCACGAAAGCGUGGGGAGCAAACAGGAUUAGAUACCCUGGUAGUCCACGCCCUAAACGAUGUCAACUAGCUGUUGGGGUCUUCGGACCUUGGUAGCGCAGCUAACGCGUGAAGUUGACCGCCUGGGGAGUACGGUCGCAAGAUUAAAACUUAAAUGAAUUG